GAUGAACGCUGGCGGCGUGCUUAACACAUGCAAGUCGAACGAAGAUGCCAUAGUAGAAGCAAUUAGCUUGCUAAGAGUGGACACAGUGGGAUCUUAGUGGCGGACGGGUGAGUAACGCGUGGGUAACCUGCCGUAUACAGGGGGAUAACACCUGGAAAUAGGUGCUAAUACCGCAUAAGCGCACGAUGUCGCAUGACAACGUGUGAAAAGCCGAGACGGUAUACGAUGGACCCGCGUCUGAUUAGCUGGUUGGUGAGGUAGAGGCUCACCAAGGCGACGAUCAGUAGCCGGCCUGGAGAGGGUGAACGGGCCACAUUGGGACUGAGACACGGGCCCAAACUCCUAAGGGAGCAAGCAGUGGGGAAUAUGCACAAGUGGGGAAACCCUGAUGCAGCGACGCCGCGUGA
rnacentral:rRNA from 1 species